UACGGGGGGGGCAAGCGUUGUUCGGAAUUACUGGGCGGAAAGGGCUCGUAGGCGGCCAACUAAGUCAGACGUGAAAUCCCUCGGCUUAACCGGGGAACUGCAUCUGAUACUGGAUGGCUUGAGUUCGGGAGAGGGAUGUGGAAUUCCAGGUGUAGCGGUGAAAUGCGUAGAUAUCUGGAGGAACACCGGUGGCGAAGGCGGCAUCCUGGACCGACACUGACGCUGAGGAGCGAAAGCCAGGGGAGCAAACGGG
rnacentral:rRNA from 1 species